CACUUUAUGAAAUUCUUGAUUGAUCUUAAUUGAUAAAAACAACUUUCAACAAUGGGAUCUCUCGGCUUACGCAUCGAUGAAGAACGCAGCGAAUCGCGAUAUGUAAUGUGAUCUGCAUUNAGUGAAUCAU
rnacentral:rRNA from 1 species